rnacentral:rRNA from 1 species
UAAUACGUAGGGGGCAAGCGUUGUCCGGAAUCAUUGGGCGUAAAGAGCGCGUAGGCGGCCCAGUAAGUCCGCUCUGAAAGUCAGAGGCUCAACCUCUGGAUGCGGGUGGAUACUGCUGGGCUAGAGUCCGGAAGAGGCGAGUGGAAUUCCUGGUGUAGCGGUGAAAUGCGCAGAUAUCAGGAGGAACACCGAUGGCGAAGGCAGCUCGCUGGGACGGUACUGACGCUGAGGCGCGAAAGCGUGGGGAGCAAACAGGAUUAGAUACCCUGGUAGUCCACGCCGUAAACGAUGGGCACUAGGUGUGGGAGGUGUCGACUCCUCCCGUGCCGAAGCUAACGCAUUAAGUGCCCCGCCUGGGGAGUACGGCCGCAAGGCUA